GUUCCCGUAGUUGAAUUACAACGGUGGUUUUUCAAGUCAUUAGUCUCGGUGGGAGUCCGGGUGGGAAUU
rnacentral:tRNA from 1 species